rnacentral:rRNA from 1 species
AUUGAACGCUGGCGGCAGGCUUAACACAUGCAAGUCGAGCGGAUGAAGGGAGCUUGCUCCUGGAUUCAGCGGCGGACGGGUGAGUAAUGCUUAGGAAUCUGCCUAUUAGUGGGGGACAACAGUUGGAAACGGCUGCUACUACCGCAAACGCCCUACGGGGGAAAGGAGGGGAUUGUCGGACCUCUCGCUAAUAGAUGAGCCUAAGUCAGAUUAGCUAGUUGGUGGGGUAAAGGCCUACCAAGGCGACGAUCUGUAGCGGGUCUGAGAGGAUGAUCCGCCACACUGGGACUGAGACACGGCCCAGACUCCUACGGGAGGCAGCAGUGGGGAAUAUUGGACAAUGGGGGGAACCCUGAUCCAGCCAUGCCGCGUGUGUGAAGAAGGCCUUUUGGUUGUAAAGCACUUUAAGCGAGGAGGAGGCGCCCUAGAUUAAUACUCCAGGAGCGUGGACGUUACUCGCAGAAUAAGCACCGGCUAACUCUGUGCCAGCAGCCGCCGUAAGAC